AAAUUGAAGAGUUUGAUCAUGGCUCAGAUUGAACGCUGGCGGCAGGCCUAACACAUGCAAGUCGAACGGUAACAGGAAGCAGCUUGCUGCUUUGCUGACGAGUGGCGGACGGGUGAGUAAUGUCUGGGAAACUGCCUGAUGGAGGGGGAUAACUACUGGAAACGGUGGCUAAUACCGCAUAACGUCGCAAGACCAAAGAGGGGGACCUUCGGGCCUCUUGCCAUCAGAUGUGCCCAGAUGGGAUUAGCUAGUUGGUGAGGUAACGGCUCACCAAGGCGAC
rnacentral:rRNA from 2 species